GUCGGGGUGGCGGAACAGGCAGACGCGCACGCUUGAGGGGCGUGUGGUAAACACCGUGUGGGUUCGACUCCCAUCCCCGACACCA
rnacentral:tRNA from 1 species